GAUAAUUUUAGAAUAUAUUUAUAUAAUUUUAGAAUAUAUUAAUAUAAUUUUAGAAUAUAUUAAUUGAAUAAAUUUUAGAUAUCAACCAUUAGUUUAAGCAUGGAGAUGGAGUUUCCACAGCAUGAUACAACUGUAUCAUAAAGAAGAAGACAGAAAAACUACUGACAAUUUUAGUCCUAAAGAAACUACACCAUAAUGGUUUAAAAAUAAAUGCACUCAUGGGUGAAAGACUUUUGGCUCUUUUGGAAAAGGUGCCAUCUGAAAGCCAAUCAGAAGGCUUGGAAAGUAUGAGCCUUUCAAAUAAAUACUUUUCAAUUGUGUAGUAUCAAGAUUGUAUCAUACUUUGAUGGAGCAAUCAAAGGAUCAAAAUACUAUAGAAUUAUCACCAACAAAUUCAAC